rnacentral:rRNA from 1 species
UAUCUCUGUAGAGUCUGCAUAUCAAUAAGCGGAGGAAAAGAAACUAACUAGGAUUCCCUCAGUAACGGCGAGUGAAGCGGGAAGAGCUCAAAUUUGAAAUCUUCAAGGUUCUACCUUGACGAAUUGUAGUUUAAAGAAGUGUUUUCUGUUGGAGUUUUGGUAAAAGUUCUUUGGAAUAGGACAUCAUAGAGGGUGAGAAUCCCGUAUUUGACCAUUACUUUCCAGCUUUGUGAUACACUUUCAAAGAGUCGGAUUGUUCGGGAAUGCAGUCCAAAAUGGGUGGUAAAUUUCAUCUAAAGCUAAAUAUUGGCGAGAGACCGAUAGCGAACAAGUACCGUGAGGGAAAGAUGAAAAGAACUUUGAAAAGAGAGUUAAACAGUACGUGAAAUUGUCAAAAGGGAAGCGUUUGACACCAGUGUUGUUUUCUCGAAAAUCAAUUAAAAAAGGCAGGAUUUUGUGUUGUAUUGACUUUAUCAGCUUUCUGCACUCUUUUCUUGUCUUUUUUAAUGCACUUUUCGUUUAACAAGUCAACAUCAAUUUCUUUUGUUGUAAAAGGGUCAUUGGAAGGUGGCUUUCUUUUCGGAGAAAGUGUUUAUAGCCUUUGGCCUCUGCAAUCGGAGAGAUUGAGGUCUGCAGCGUAGAUCCUUCGGGGUUAGAUACAUUUGUGCUAAGUUAUAGCCUUUCAUAGACAACUUGUUGACUAUGAUCAGUCAUGUAGCUUACUCGCUUAUGCUAUUUUACCUACGCUUAGGAUGUUGACGAUCAGCUGAGCGCG